GGGGGGUAAUUACCCCAAUUACCCUUGUGGAAGCUAAGCAGGGUCGGAGGGGGUCGACCUUGGAUGGGUUCCCUAAGAUUGGUCAGAGGGAGUUACUUGCCCCCCGGGGAGGGGGAUAGUUGCCCCGGGGGGGGUGUUAUUUGCCCCAGGGGGGUAUUUGCCCCGGGGGGGGUAUUUGCCCCAGGCAGGUGAGUUCUCACCCCACUUUUUUGCCCCCCCAGGUGCGGCGGCCGCCCCCCACGGAAGAGCCGAGCGCGGCGAAGCGGCUCCUGGUGCUGCUCCUGGCCGUGGUGAGCGCCCAGAUCUACAGCGCGCCGGGGGACGUGACACCCGAGGUGCCCCUGACACCCGAGGUGACCCCCACCGCUGUGGGGACACCCCAGGCACCCACCGUGACACCCCAACCCCCCCUGACACCCACUGUGACACCCCCUCCCGGGGAGGGAGCGCUGCUUCGGACUGGUGGGACACCCUGGCCACCCAACGGGACGCUGGUGGGGACACCCGUGGGGACACCCUUGGGUGCCUCCUGCCCCCGUCUGCUGCUGUCACCCGCCCUGCAACCCCACAACCACACAACAGGAGGCGCUGCCCGCUGAGGGGCACCCGGGACCCUCACCCUGCUCCUCCUCAGGGUGACAACCCAAGAGACUUGUCACCCCCCACCUCGGGGUGACACCUGGGACACUCGGGGUGGCACCUGGCACCCUGCUGUGCCCAUCGCCGCGGCCUCGGGGCUGCGCCCAACCUGCUGGACUGGUAUCUGUGCCUCUGGUGGUGGCCACGGGGUGGCAUCACCCACCCAUGGGUGCCCCCUGGGCUGCUAUGGGGUCCAUCACCCUGGCCUUAGGGCUGUGACAGCACCCAUGGGUGCCCCUGACCUCAGCCCCAUGGAUGCUAUGGGGCCCAUCACCCUCGCCUUAGGGCUGGGAUGGUGCCCAGCACCCAUGGGUGCUCCUGACCUCAGCCCCAUGGACGCUGUGGGGCCCAUCACCCUGGCCCUGGGGACGCUGUGGGGCUCAGCACCCAUGGGUGCUCCUGACCUCAGCCCCAUGGACGCUGUGGGGCCCAUCACCCUGGCCCUGGGGACGCUAUGGGGCUCUGCACCCAUGGGUGCCCCUGACCUCAGCCCCAUGGACGCUGUGGGGCCCAUCACCUUGCCCUUAAGGCUGUCACAGCACCCAUGGGUGCUCCUGAGCUCGACCCCAUGGAUGCUGUGGGGCCCAUCACCCUCACCUGAGGCCUGGGAUGGCACCCAGCACCCAUGGGUGCUCCUGACCUCAGCCCCAUGGACGCUGUGGGGCCCAUCACCCUGGCCCUGGGGACGCUGUGGGGCUCAGCACCCAUGGGUGCCCCCCGGGCCGUGCACUUUAGAAGGCAUUUGGCACCCGUGGGUACCCCCUACCUCACCCCCCGGGGGUACCCCCUCGCACCCAUGGGUGCCCCUCACCCAACCUCAGGGGGCUGCUCACCUCCUCCCCCGUUCCUGGUAUUUAUUUAUUCUAUUUCUAUUUAAUUUUGCCGAUAUUUAUUAUUUAUUUAUUUAUUUUUGGGUUAUUUCAUGUGAUUUGGGGGGGUAUUUAAUAAUAAAUAAGUUAAUAUUUAAUAAUAUUUAAGAGACGUUGUUGCUGGAUCUUCAUUGUGGGGCUUGAAACCCCCCCAAAAAAAUUCCCCCACCCCCCCCCCGUUGCCUACACCCACACUCAGCCCCAUGGACGCUGUGGGGCCCAUCCCCCUGGCCCUGGGGACGCUAUGGGGCUCUGCACCCAUGGGUGCCCCUGACCUCAGCCCCAUGGACGCUGUGGGGCCCAUCACCUUGCCCUUAAGGCUGUCACAGCACCCAUGGGUGCUCCUGAGCUCGACCCCAUGGAUGCUGUGGGGCCCAUCACCCUCACCUGAGGCCUGGGAUGGCACCCAGCACCCAUGGGUGCUCCUGACCUCAGCCCCAUGGACGCUGUGGGGCCCAUCACCCUGGCCCUGGGGACGCUGUGGGGCUCAGCACCCAUGGGUGCCCCCCGGGCCGUGCACUUUAGAAGGCAUUUGGCACCCGUGGGUACCCCCUACCUCACCCCCCGGGGGUACCCCCUCGCACCCAUGGGUGCCCCUCACCCACAGGUUUUUUCCCCCAAUUUCCUGGCUUGGGGGGGGGCACCCACAUUUUUGGGGGUGUCUGUGAUGCUGGAAAUUAAACCCCACCCCGUUUUGGGUAGAAAAAACCUCACUUUUUUAUCUUGUUUAUUGAACCCUCUCGGAGGCGACGCUGAAAUACAAAGUCACGAAAGUAACAAAAAACGACAACAAAAGUAUUUUUUCUUAAAAAAAAAAAGCUGAAAACAGCUCGAUUUUGCUCCAUUUCUUUGGGGAGGGGGGGGAGGGAAUAGGAGGGAUGGGGCGAACCCAGUUUAAUAAAGUCUUUUGUUCAAAACGUGGUUUUUUUUCC
rnacentral:lncRNA from 1 species